rnacentral:rRNA from 1 species
UACGGAAGGGGGCUAGCGUUGCUCGGAUUGACUGGGCGUAAAGGGCGCGUAGGCGGUUCGUACAGUCAGACGUGAAAUUCCUGGGCUCAACCUGGGGGCUGCGUUUGAUACGUGCGGACUUGAGUGCGGAAGAGGGUCGUGGAAUUCCCAGUGUAGAGGUGAAAUUCGUAGAUAUUGGGAAGAACACCGGUGGCGAAGGCGGCGACCUGGUCCGAUACUGACGCUGAGGCGCGAAAGCGUGGGUAGCAAACAGG